GAGAGGGGCAGUGGGUGGCCGGUGAAUGGGGAGCAGCAAAAAAUAAGGACCGAUGGGUAUGGGAGAAGGUGAGGGCCAAGGCAUCGGCCUGGGGCCACGAUCAGAGGAGAAGAAUGGGUAAAGGACUCUUCUGGAGAGAAGGUGCUCUGCUGAGAAAGAGGGGCUGAGGGAGACACUGGUAGCCUGCGAGGGGCGAAGCCAGGCCCAUCUCAUUUGCUUCAGGACAACAGCUUUCUGCUUUGGAAAAGGGGGAUGCAGGAGGAAGAUAAGUGGUGAAGAUGUGGAUUUCAGUUAUUCCCUGUCUAAAAGGCAGGCUGUCAUCUGCCCUUCCAUUGUUUAUCUGUGAUGUGAAAUUCAGCAUUGCAGUAGAGAAUUGGCUUGGAAUCUGAAAAAACACAUCCAUCCCUGAGAGAUUUUUGUUUGUGUUUAACCAAGUUUGGAUGCGAUCGGACUGCUGAAUUUACCAGUUGCGUCUGGAAGUCCCACACAAUCAGUGAUCCUCCGAGCUGUGCACUGUAAAAAAGCCAGAAAGGAAAAUACCUUUGCCUCAAAGAGUUAACAACUCCAAACAGAUAAUUCUUGAGAGGGCAGAGAAGAGAGACAAAGAGUUACACUGAGCCACCAAUGGUUGAAUUGGGAGUGUUAUAAAGCUGUUAGAUAGACAGGCAGGUAGCUGCUGAAGAGGAGCACUUGAGAAGAACAGAGUAAAUCUCCAUACCAGGUACUCCAGAAGAAACUGGUUUAAAGGGACUAACAGAAUUGAAAUGACAGCCUGUCCUGGUGGAGCUGCUAUGUCCUUCGAGCACUGCAGUGUUCUUAUUCUGAUUCUGCUGGGUCAGUGCCUGCUCCAAUCAUAAGCCCAAGAAUGUAGCCUUCUGCAUCAUAAAUUUCUGAAUAUGCUGCUGGUAAGAAAACAACUCUGUUCAGUGCUUUUGGCUGGACUUAAAGGAUACAUCUACUGAGUGUAGCUGUUCCAAGGCCAUCCUGGAACUUCCCAACAGCAUCAUAGUGUGUGUCCUCUUCUGCCAACUCAGUCAGCCUGCAAGUUUCUUCAUCAGGAAAGUGAUUUCAGGGCUGUAAUUGCUCUGAUGUUACAGGAUGCACUUUCCCGUCAUGACGGCAUACAAGAGCACUGCUUUCCUUUCAACAUCAUCCUAACUGGAAGAGAACAGGUGAGCUCUGAAGAUGAGAGAAAGAAGGAAGGGUUCGUUUGGCCCUUCCCUUAUUUUUUUUCUUAUAUCUCCUUUGGAUGGCAGCAAGUAUCACAAGAGUCUACAGCAAAAGGUGCAUGAUGCAGUGAAGCUGGACUACAGCAAAAGGUGCACGAUGCAGUGAGGCUGGAGAUGGUGCACAAUACUCUGGAAUACCCAUUUGCAUGGCAGCCUACUUAGAUUGGUGCCUGUAGUGUUCAGUAACCACAGACUUAGAAAUGCGGAGUUCACGGCUCAGCAUUGUGAGGCUGGGGACUGGCGUCAUCUUGACACGGGUGGUACUGCUUGAAGAGGUUACUAUUCUCAACCUCAUGUCUCCACCCUACAAUUUUGCUAGCCAAGCUAGAAGCCCAAAUGCUCUCUUUUUCCUCUGGAAAUUUUAUCUGAGCAGAGUUAAAGGACUAAGUAUUUAUCUGGAGUUUAAUCAGCUCUGUUUUGACCACAGCUGUUUGGAAAUUCUGGAAAGAACGUUUUUAUACAGUCAUGGCAGAUGUGCAGUGUACAUAUGCCACACCUAGCAGGGAAUGGUGGCCUCCUCAGCUAAUAGAAGCCAGAAGACGAUGUGUUCCCAACCUGGACAUAAUCGGAUAUAGUUAUAUUGAUUUAACUAAAUCAAUAUAGCUUAUGCCAAUACAACUUUUUUUUAUGGAGGCAAUGUUUGCGCAAUUAAACUCUCGGUGUCUGAAUAGUCCUGGCAUAAGAUUUCAAUGGAACAGUUAAAUUCCAUUCUGUGAAAUACAAAAAUUCCUUUCUAACGCAAUCAGUUUAAUGACUUUCCCUCUGUUUCCUGGAUAACCACGGACACACCGGCACAGCUGCUGAGCUGGGCAAGUCAUUUGCUCGAUGCCAAUAAUGCCCAUAAUGAGGGGGCAAGGCCAGCAAGGAUUUAGCAUGUUUAGUCAGUGUAGCAAUGUCCACUGGGACUGUAAAAAAAAAAAAAAAAAUCCUUACCCCAAACUGUCACUCUCAUUUUUUCAAAAAAACCCUUGUGUGAAUUCAGCUAUGUUAGUAGAAAAGUACUAUUUUGUUUUUUGGGGUCUUUUUUCUAGUUAAUGCUAGCGGCAGACAACUGGUUGAAGAUGUCACACCUCCACCAGUUUCUCAUCUAAUAGGAAGGGGUUGUUUUCCCCACCUCUCUCCCAGCAGAGCAGAAUGUGUGACUACUGCCCACUCUUCAUGCAUGCAAGAUUAGUCACUAGUUCAAACCACCUUCUUCAGUGAUUUACACUAAGGCUGUGUGUCCCCCAGAGCCAGAUAUGCUGGUGGAAAAAUUACUGUCCUAAAUUCACACCACCUUCUCAUGCAGUUUGGAGGUGAAUGUUAUUAGCAAUGAAGUUCAAAAAUGAUCACCCAAAUUAGUAGCAGGCCAAAUCAGUUGCAUUAAGUUAGAUGAGCUGUUUACAUUGUUUAAGCCAGAUUAAUUGCUUUUGCCUGAUUUAGGACACAAUUGUGCGUCAGCAAAUUAACAGGGCUGAUAACUGCUAGCUGAUGGGUAGUGACAGUGCCUUGGGAUGAGAACUUCUGUCCUCACCAUGUGAAUCUGAAAGAGGUGUGUAUCUGUUGUUUAAGAUGGAAGAGGGAUAGUAGUAAACACCUUCAGUCAUGUUUAAGUGAGGUGUAGCUAUGCCCUUAGGGCUUUGAUAGACAAGCUGUAGGGAACUUUGCUGUGUCUGUGCUCACCUCUCCUUUCCAGCUCUCUACCAAAAGCUGUCAUCUGCACAACAGUGUCUGCAGAAAGGGACCCUUUGCUUCAGCCACCUCCAUGCAAAACCUGUCUUCGUAGCCUAGACUGGCAACAACGUGAGGCUGUGCUACAGUACUGUGAACUGCAGCAACUCAGGUCACUCUUCCAUCCAGAAUUGUUACAAAAGGCUGAAGUCUUAGAGAAGUUUGGAACCUGAAUAUCAAACAGAAAGGCUCAGCUUGGAUCAGUUGUAAUAUUUUGUAGAGAGAGGCAGCUGAUUUUCUGGGCUGUUGGAAACUCAUUCCUCUUACACAUGUAACUUUUGUGUGCAUCUAAUUUUGGAUCAAAUGGCUUUCCAUCAAAUUCUUCUUCUAGACUGGAAAUACCCUUGGGCAUUAAUAACGUAGUAAUGUGGCUUAACCUCUGACCCUCAAAGGAUAUUGAGAAACUUGCACCUACUUGCUGUAGAGCCUUUCAUGUGAUUGGAAAGAUGUUGCAAGUCCUUGGUGGGAAAGACAGCAUGACCUGUUUGUGUUUAGAAAUGACUAUGCUAUAAAAAAACCUCUUCUGUCUCCGUGCCUUUCUUGUGACCCUCACUUACUACCACGUUUUCUCAGUACAUUCAUUCUCCUCAUGUUGUACUUCAUCUGGAAAUGGAUAAAACAGCUUCCUCUCUUCCCUUCCCCUUCCCUCUCCUGUUAUCUUUCAAGUCAUUGUCCUGAGGUGCAACUAGGCUUUGGAAAUUGUGAACUUUAUCAGAAGAAGGCUAGCCUAGAAUAACUUGCAGAUCCAGAUCCAAUGCUAAGGAUGAAGGGGAAGGGUGAUAAAAGUAAAGCUGGGUAAAGUGUCUCAGGUCAUUUAAGUGGGCAGAUAUGACUUGUUCCAUAUGGGGAACAGUUUAGCUAAACAAGAAAUGUAUUUCCACUCUCUCUGUGUCUGCUGCUCUAUUGAGAGAUGAUUCUCUGCUUGAGACAGGGAGGAGAGAAUACACAAAUGGAAUUUCUUCUAUUUCACCAAAAAGCUGAGUGUCUUUCUGUAGGUCACAGGAAGCUUGUGGCCAAACUGAAAGAUGAAAGCAGCACCCUGAAGCAGCCAGCCCCUGCUUCAGCUACCAAAUUACAACAUCUCGCAGGGAAAAGUAUGCUGUUUGUACCCUAGUGUUUUUAACCACAGUCAGAUGAUUUGAGAUAUACAAGUAUAAAAUACCAAGGGCUCGAUCUGCAUUUAUCCUGGGCCUUCUCAAGACACUUAUCCUACAUCUCCUACCUCUCUCUCAUCUUGCAUGAGAUGCAGCUGUCCUUCACAGGAUCUUACUCCACCCAAGUCUUCUACUACAGCAAGUUAAAUGACUGCAUAAAUGGUAAGACAGACUAGAAGCACCAAGAGCCAUCUCUACACUCAGGAAAAGGUAGUUUAUAACACAGUAGUUAACAAACUGUAAAGUCUUAGGCAUAGGCAAUGCAAGAUGUCACUAUCCUAUUGUAAGUGAUCCAAGAGGACAUUAAACUGGAUGCUUUAUCCAAGUCAGGUACAUAUCUGCAUUUUCUACUUACUGUAAUAUUUGGGCCUCCUUCCCACAAAACUUACUAGCAAGAACAAAAUGGAUUCUAUGGAGUUUUUGGUUUUCCCUUCACGGUCAAACCUGUUUUACCAACGGAGCUUGAGAUUGCUUAAUUUACAGCUGUCUCCCCUUUUCCCACAACCUCCUUCUGUCUCACAACCACAGUUUAAAGGUAGCAAGAAACUUUGAUUGUUAGAGUGACAUUAUAAUGGAAAGGCUGCUUCAAAGGAGAAGUUUUCUUUUAGCAUUUCUUAAAUGCUUGGGAUUUGCCAGAUAUCUUCUGGAAGCUUGUUCUGCAGUCAGACUCUAGUCAAGAACUCUUUCUCCCCAGCUCUCAUGCUUUGUCCAGCUUGUCCAGUAACUUUGGCCAGUUAGACGACAAACUUUGUUUUAAUUUUACAGAUCCCAACACCAAGGCGCUAUGCUCACCUACCUGGCACUUUACUGUAAAAUACCCAGCCUUGCUUUGGAUGUUGAUCUUGGCAGGAAGCAUGCCACAGCAUAUACCUUCUUCUGCAGAGCAAUGCUGAUUGUCAUCAGAGGAGAAACUGGCCUUUAUCCCCUCUGAAGUCCUGGAGACUGAAAAUUUCUAUGCAGACCGUAGGUAGAAACUAGUAUGUAUGUUUCCUCACUUGUCUCUCCUCUUCACUGUAGCCAACAAAUGCAGGACUAAGACGCAUAUUUCACUCUUUCCCCCUUCACGUCAAUAUGGAUAAUUCAUGCUGGUUGCAAUUUUCAUGACAUGAAAAUUCAGUCAUCAGGCAACCCAUAAAAUUGGUUCCAAGCCUGUGAUCUGAACACUCAUUGCCCUGCAAGGCCUUCUCCAUCUCUCCUGGCCUAGCUAGCCAAGGCAAAAGUUCAGCCCAGAUGAGCAAUUCUGUACUCUGCUAACAUCUCCUGGAGUUGCUUGGUCUGACCUUGGUGCCUCAGAAAGUGAGAACCCUGGGACUCUACGAAAGCUAUUUAUUAGUGAAUGUAGAGCCAGUAAUGAUGAUCCUUGACAAAGGGUGCAGUCAGCUGGGGCAUUCACUAUCCUGGGAGUUCAAGCUUAAGUACUCCCUUUAUUUGCAAAGGGCUGGGCUGUUCUGUGACCAGUCAAUAAUAACAGUUCUUGUAGAUGUGCCAGCUAUGGCUAAUCCCAAUUCUUAUUAUGAGGUAUAAACUGAUCCCCUGUGGGCAGUGAGAACAGUCCCUCUCCUGCUUGUGGCAGAGUUGUAGGAGGACCACCUGCACGUCUGGAUCAUGCGCUUUGCUCUAAUCUGGUCGUUUGCCAGUAAUGCCUUGCCCCUUUGGUCUGAGGAACUGAAGAGUUUUGCAAACAUCAGGACAUCUACCUUUGCAGUGUUGCAACCUCAGUUUGAUAAAUAAGGAUGCUGGGAGCACAAAAAAGCAACCUGCCCGAGGUCAUUUGUUGGGUCAGGGCAUUACCAAAAAUAGAACUGGUAACUUCUACCAGUCAACCUUUGGGCCAGGCCACUGAAUUUUGGUUUUUGUUUGUUUGUUUGAAUUGCGAAUUUUGUGCUCCUUGUCAGGACAGUAGGUACUGGCUAAUGACUAAGGUAGGACUCUGGAAUAGGAGGGUUAGAAGUCUGCUUUGGGUUUACAGAUCUUCCCCACUUUCUGGAUGCUCUAUCUUUGCUCUUCAGAAUAACUUAAGUCAUCUGAAUCAAAAUGUAGCCACGCAGGGGACUUGGACAGGCUGCAGAAAGGAGCUGAUGAGAUAGCUGGGACAGGGAGGGGAGCGCAGCGGAGCUGUGGGAGAAGGCUCAGGCUGCAAGAGAUGACGAACAGUGGAAAAAAGCAAGAAUUCUUGGGUGCUGGGACCUACAGACCUCAUGCUGUGGGGCUCUGGGGGACUGACUUGGCAGCUGCAGGCUCGCUGCUCUUGCUGCCAUUUCCCUGCUGCGGUAUCUUAGCACCAUGCUGUACUUUGGACCUUCUGCUGCUCCAGCUGCAUCCUCUGAUCUCCUGGCAGUAGCUCCUCUCAUGACAUAUUUGCUCUUCAGCUAAAUAGCUCAAGCCAUACCUUCUCCACCCAGUGUGACAGGGGAAUAUGAUGGGGGAAUAUAUGUGGAAGGUGGUGGGGAGAGAAUUGCAUGCAGGCAAGAAAACACUGAGGAAUUCUUGGUCUGCAUUUGCAAAAUAGUAGCAACAAUUCAAUGUGGAUACAGCUGUUCUGCUAAGUGGAUAAACAAAAUUCUGG